rnacentral:sRNA from 16 species
UCCCUUGUAUACACCCCAAAAUAAUAAACAACUGCUAAAACCAAAUAAUAAUAAAUAAUUGCUAGAGUGCGGUUGAGCAAUCCAGCAACGUAGCGAACGUCCUAGAACACAAACUUAAACCCCCGCCAGCUACCAUCCUCACAUUCACCCCAAAUACUU